CCGCAUACGAUCUACGGAAGAAAGCGGGGGAUCGCAAGACCUCGCGCUAUAGGGGCGGCCGAUGGCAGAUUAGCUAGUUGGUGGGGUAAAGGCCUACCAAGGCGACGAUCUGUAGCUGGUCUGAGAGGACGACCAGCCACACUGGGACUGAGACACGGCCCAGACUCCUACGGGAGGCAGCAGUGGGGAAUUUUGGACAAUGGGGGAAACCCUGAUCCAGCAAUGCCGCGUGUGUGAAGAAGGCCUUCGGGUUGUAAAGCACUUUUGUCCGGAAAGAAAACCUUCGAGUUAAUACCUUGGGGGGAUGACGGUACCGGAAGAAUAAGCACCGGCUAACUACGUGCCAGCAGCCGCGGUAAUACGUAGGGUGCGAGCGUUAAUCGGAAUUACUGGGCGUAAAGCGUGCGCAGGCGGUUCGUUAAGACAGAUGUGAAAUCCCCGGGCUUAACCUGGGAACUGCAUUUGUGACUGGCGAGCUAGAGUAUGGCAGAGGGGGGUAGAAUUCCACGUGUAGCAGUGAAAUGCGUAGAGAUGUGGAGGAAUACCGAUGGCGAAGGCAGCCCCCUGGGCCAAUACUGACGCUCAUGCACG
rnacentral:rRNA from 1 species